AUGUCCAUUAAAUUGUUCAGAACCGCAGAUUUACCGCACGUUACGAAAUUGAAAUCCAAAUUGAAGUUGAAAUUCAAAUCACAAUAUGAUGAAUUAGAAAAUAUGAUUAAUGAUUAUGAAGAAAUGAAAUGGAUAAGACUUACGUUGCCAAGGGCUACAUCGUUGAGGAAAGUUCAAUGUCUUCAAGAACUGGUUGUUUCUUCGAUAUCUUCGUCAACGAGCACCGCCAACGCUUGA